rnacentral:rRNA from 1 species
AUUGAACGCUGGCGGCAUGCUUUACACAUGCAAGUCGAACUGUAACAGGCCGCAAGGUGCUGACGAGUGGCGAACGGGUGAGUAAUGCAUCGGAACGUGACCAGUCGUGGGGGAUAACGCAGCGAAAGCUGCGCUAAUACCGCAUACGAUCUAUGGAUGAAAGCGGGGGACCGUAAGGCCUCGCGCGAUUGGAGCGGCCGAUGUCAGAUUAGGUAGUUGGUGGGGUAAAGGCUCACCAAGCCAACGAUCUGUAGCUGGUCUGAGAGGACGACCAGCCACACUGGGACUGAGACGAGGACCAGACUCCUACGGGAGGCAGCGGUGGGGAAUUUUGGACAAUGGGCGCGAGCCUGAUCCAGCAAGGCCGCGUGCAGGAAGAAGGCCUUCGGGUUGUAAACUGCUUUUGUACUGAACGAAACGGCUCUGGUUAAUACCUGGGGCUAAUGACGGUACCGUAAGAAUAAGCACCGGCUAACUACGUGCCAGCCGCCGCAGUAACAC